UAGCUCAAAUAUACUAUAUAUACAUAUAUAUUACCACCCCAAUAACAUUAAAAUAAAACAUUCAUAACAAUUAAAAGUAUAGGUGAUAGAAAUUUUACAUGGCGCUAUAGAGAAAGUACCGUAAGGGAAAAAAUGAAAGAA
rnacentral:rRNA from 1 species